GAUGAACGCUAGCGGCGGGCCUAAUACAUGCAAGUCGAACGAGAUCCAAGAGCUUGCUUUUGGUGAAAGUGGCGCACGGGUGCGUAACGCGUAUGCAACCUACCUUAAUCAGGGGGAUAGCCUCUCGAAAGAGAGAUUAACACCGCAUAACAUUAUGAUAUGGCAUCAUAUUAUAAUCAAAUAUUUAUAGGAUUAAGAUGGGCAUGCGUGACAUUAGCUAGUUGGUGAGGUAACGGCUCACCAAGGCUACGAUGUCUAGGGGAUCUGAGCGGAUGACCCCCCACACUGGUACUGAGACACGGACCAGACUCCUACGGGAGGCAGCAGUAAGGAAUAUUGGUCAAUGGAGGCAACUCUGAACCAGCCAUGCCGCGUGCAGGAAGACGGCCCUAUGGGUUGUAAACUGCUUUUAUACGGGAAUAAACCUCUCUACGUGUAGGGAGUUGAAUGUACUGUAAGAAUAAGGAUCGGCUAACUCCGUGCCAGCCGCCGCGGUAACAC
rnacentral:rRNA from 1 species